AAGGGAAAAGAGGGUCAAAACCCUAGUUUCUUCAAAAUCUUCAAAUUGAAAGGCAAGAUGAAGCUUUAACUCAUAACCGAGCAUAGAUUAAUGAUCACCUUCACAAGGGGAUCGCAAGGAAUCAUGUCGAGACGGAAUCAAGCACGGAAGGCUAACGGGUCAAGAAGUGGCGAAGAAACAAAUAUGAAUACGGAUGCACGAGGUGCCACACGGACUUCUUCUGCUACUUAGAAAGUGAAGCGGACGUAGAUCGAGUCAAGAGCAAGGAUUGCACGGAUAGAUCGGUCAUAUAAUUGAAGUGUAUAACG